AUUGUGACCUCUGAGAUUUGCUGUAGUCCUCACUGCAGAAAGAAUACGCAUUUGUGAAAAUCUGUCUCAUUGCUUUGGAACUGUGCUCACAGUUCUUCUGUGCUUGUUUGCAUGUCUGUUUGUUUAAUCUGAAAUGGCAUGUCAGUGUUUUUCAAAAUUCCUCACUCUUUUGGCAUCAGUUAAGAUUCUUGAUUGCAAGCUACAGAAAUCAAGUCUGGUUAACUUAAUAUGAAAAGGACUCUCAUGGCAGUUUCUUUGAGAUCUCACACUAUCAGCUCUGUGAAGUGAGAACCCCGAAGAUUCCAAGUUCUGGAUGGGAGAAUUGCCAUGCUUGAGCCUAGGCACGUGCCAUCAUCCCUGGUUGCCAGGGCAGGAGGACGAUCUCCUCUUCUGCUUCCCUAGUUAUGAGCACAGCAGCUUUAGAAGUAUGGUAUAUUUUACCCCUAAGCAGUCAGUCCCCAUUCCUCCUCCUCCCUUCCCCUGGCAAUCACUAAUCUGCUUUCUCUCAUUGUGGAUUUUCCUGUUCUGGACAUUUCAUAUACAUGGACUCAGAUACUUUGAGGUCUUUUCUGACUGGUUUCUUUCACUUAGCACAAUAUAUUCAAGGUUCAUUCAUAUUGUAGUGUGUAUAUCAGCACUUCAUUUUUAUUGCUAAAAAUAUUCCAUUUUACGUUUACACCACAUUUUGUUUAUCUUUUCUGAUUUUAUUUUUAUUUUCUUUUUUAUUUUUUGAGACAGGGUCUCACUCUGUCAUCCAGGCUGGAGUGCAGUGGCACAAUCUUGGUUCAUUGCAACUUCUGCCUCCUGGGUUCAAGUCAUUCUCCUGCCUCAGCCUCCCGAGUAGCUGGGACUACAGGCACACACUACCAUGCCUGGCCAAUUUUUGUACAGAAGGCUAAUUUAAUACAGAAGGAGUUUCGCAAUGUUGGCCUGGCUGGUCUCAAACUCGUGAUCUCAAGUAAUCUGCCUGCCUUGGCCUCCCAAAGUGCUGGGAUUACAGGCGUGAGCCACUGCGCCCAGGGCCUUAUUUAUCUUUUGAACAUUUGGGUUGUGUCAAAUUUUUUUUUUUUUUUUUGAAACAGAGUCUCGCUCUGUCCCCCAGGUUGGAGUGCAGUGGCAUGAACUCGGCUCACUGCAAGCUCUACCUCCCAGGUUCACGCCAUUCUCCUGCCUCAGCCUCCCGAGUAGCUGGGACUACAGGCACCCGCCACCACGCCCAGCUAAUUUUUUUGUAUUUUUAGUAGAGACAGGGUUUCACCGUGUUAGCCAGGAUGGUUUCAAUCUCCUGACCUCAUGAUGCGCCCACCUUUGGCUCCUUUGAAGACUUGGGAUUUUCCUGAAGACAGAAUUCACUUUGGAGUCAGGUCACCAUGAUAGCCUUUUACCAUCUUAGAGCUAAUAUUUUGUGGGCAAUAACCUUGCGAACUGCACAGAGAUUUCAAGUUGAUUAUUUGACUGCCCAAUUGUUUCAAGCUAUGAAAUUGUCAGAUACUUACAAGCACCAUGUGCUGAAAACUACCAUCUUCUGCAGUGCUCACAAGGGUCUGUUUUAAUUGGUGGCUUUACUCAGCCAUGUUUCUGUUUUUCAAACCCCGGAGUCAGUUGGACUGCCUCCAUAUCACCACUUACCACUUCCAAGAGGAGAUGAGUUCCCAGCC
rnacentral:lncRNA from 1 species